GUUACACCUUUGCACCAUACACCUUACACAUUACACCAUGCACCAUUCCCCAUUCUAUCUACACGAUCCGAAAUUACCCAUAAUGCAAUUAAAUUUCAAAUAUUAAGAUUAUUAUUAUUGAGUAUGUUUACAACUCGAAAAAAUAAAAUAAAAAGAAAUUCGUUUCAACCAAUGAGAUGUCGUACACCAUCAUUCACACCAUUCCCGAUCGCACGUUACACAAUCACACCAUUCCUCAAACACCAUUACACCAUUCCCCUUACACCAUACACCACAGCACCAUACACCUUACACCAUUACACCAGUACACUAUACAAUUUUUUUGGAAAGUUUACACCAUCCAAGGGCUGUAUAUAUAAUUUCCACAUUAUUUAUGUAUAUGCCUGUCCCAAGUCAGGAGCCUGUAAUUCAGUGGUUGUCGUUUGUUCAAGUGUUACAAAUUUGUUUUUCGUUCAUUUUUUAAACAUAAAUAAGGCCGUUAGUUUUCUCGUUUGAAUUGUUUUACAUUGUCUUAUCGGGGCCUUUUAUAGCUGACUACGCGGUAUGGGCUUUGCUCAUUGUUGAAGGCCUUACGGUGACCUAUAGUUGUUAAUGUUUGUGUCAUUUUGGUCUUUUGUGGAUAGUUGUCUCAUUGACAAUCAUACCUUCACAUCUUCUUUUUUUUUAUACUUCAUCCAUUUGUAUAUCAAUAUAUUCUACUAUGCUUUUAAUAGUGCAGUGUAAGUGCAUGGUGGACACUCUUUUGUAAGAAAUCGAUUUUUCUGAAAGAUUAGAUAUGAGAAGCCAUUCAUAUUUUCCCGCAA
rnacentral:lncRNA from 1 species